rnacentral:rRNA from 1 species
UACGGAAGGGGCUAGCGUUGCUCGGAAUCACUGGGCGUAAAGGGUGCGUAGGCGGGUCUUUAAGUCAGGGGUGAAAUCCUGGAGCUCAACUCCAGAACUGCCUUUGAUACUGAGGAUCUUGAGUUCGGGAGAGGUGAGUGGAACUGCGAGUGUAGAGGUGAAAUUCGUAGAUAUUCGCAGGAACACCAGUGGCGAAGGCGGCUUACUGGUCCUAACUGACGCUGAGGUGGCGAAAGCGUGGGGAGCAAACAGG